CAAUAGCGUAUAUUAAAGUUGUUGCGGUUAAAAAGCUCGUAGUUGGAUUUCUGUUGGGAACGACCGGUCCGCCCAUUGGGUGUGUAUCUGGCUUGUUCUCGGCAUCUUCUUGGUGAACGUUGCUGCACUUGACUGUGUGGAGCGCUACCCAGGACUUUUACUUUGAGGAAAUUAGAGUGUUUCAAGCAGGCAUAUGCCUUGAAUACAUUAGCAUGGAAUAAUAAGAUAGGACCUCGGUUCUAUUUUGUUGGUUUCUAGAGCUGAGGUAAUGAUUAAUAGGGAUAGUUGGGGGCAUUCGUAUUUAACUGUCAGAGGUGAAAUUCUUGGAUUUAUGGAAGAUGAACUACUGCGAAAGCAUUUACCAAGGAUGUUUUCAUUAA
rnacentral:rRNA from 1 species